rnacentral:lncRNA from 1 species
CAGCGCUCCGCCGAGGAAGAACUCGGCGCGGUGCUGCCCGGGGGCCCGCCCGGCGCCCAGCAGCCCCAGGCCGGGCGGGAGCGGGGGCUGCUGCGGGCGGGGCGGCCCGCGGGGCUCGGCGCGGUGCCGGCUGCGCAGCACCUGGAUGCUCUCGCGGAGCAGCGCCUGCUUGGCCUUCAGGCGCGAGUUGUGGACGGCGCGCGGGUCGCGGAAGAGCUGCACCACGCGCAGGUUGAGGCCGGGCUCCCGCAGCAGCGGCAGCAGCGCGCCCAGCUCCAGCAGCCGCACGUCCUUGAUGACCACCACCGGGAAACCUGUUUUCCACCCCUACGUGAUCCAAAUAAGAACUCCCUGCGACCUGAGUGCCAACCUUGCAUUUUCCAGGACUGAGUCUUUCUGCCUUGACCACAAUUCUUUCUGCUCCGUGAUGUGCUAAAGCACAAAGCAUGUAACAUCUUUCCUGAUCUAAUUAGUGAUGCCUCCAUCUGUCUCGUGGUGAAAGUAACUGGCAUCAACACCAAGCUACAUGGCUUUGUUGUCUCUCUGUCCUUCAGCCUUUCUGUACUCGUGUAACAUGUCACCUGCUGAGAGAAAUGUGGAUUAUUACGUAUUUCUGAUGUAGAACACUGCGUGGAGAGGCAUACAAUAAAAUACAAUAAAAUUAAAUCAUGAAAAGAUGUCAUCAAAGCACCGCUACAUCAUAUCAUUAAAGCUAAGUUGCAAUAAAAACAAUUCAAAUUCAAAUGAAAUUGAAGUCAGGUCUUAUGUUGUCUCUUUUAUUAUUUUUAUACUAUCCCCAGCACAGUAAAUUCAACGUAACAACCAGUCAG